AGUGAACGCUGGCGGUAGGCCUAACACAUGCAAGUCGAACGGAAGCACAGUAAGAGCUUGCUCUUACGGGUGGCGAGUGGCGGACGGGUGAGGAAUACAUCGGAAUCUACUUUUUCGGGGGGGAUAACGUAGGGAAACUUACGCUAAUACCGCAUACGACCUACGGGUGAAAGCAGGGGAUAUUCGGACCUUGCGCGAUUGAAUGAGCCGAUGUCGGAUUAGCUAGUUGGCGGGGUAAAGGCCCACCAAGGCGACGAUCCGUAGCUGGUCUGAGAGGAUGAUCCGCCACACUGGAACUGAGACACGGUCCAGACUCCUACGGGAGGCAGCAGUGGGGAAUAUUAGACAAUGGGCGCAAGCCUGAUCCAGCCAUACCGCGUGGGUGAAGAAGGCCUUCGGGUUGUAAAGCCCUUUUGUUGGGAAAGAAAAGCAGCAGGUUAAUACCCCGCUGUUCUGACGGUACCCAAAGAAUAAGCACCGGCUAACUUCGUG
rnacentral:rRNA from 1 species